rnacentral:lncRNA from 1 species
CUGGAAUUUUGAAGGUAUCCCCUAUUCUUGUAUGAUCCUGUUCUCUGAAGAAUCACUCUGAUCACUUACUUAGAUUAUGUAUGAAAUUUCUGGUGUUCUCUAUUCACAAAUGAAGACAUUCUGUAAAUUGGCGAGGGGCAUCCAUUGUGCAAAUGUGUGGUGAAAGUAUCACAAAACCCCCUGUACUAUACUUUGGAUUGCAUGUUAGCCCUUCUACUAAAAAAUGGGCAAAUUAGCCUCGUUGAUGAGUGAGCAAAACAGCAGUGUUUAUAUAUAAG